ACUCAACAUUAAACAAAAUAAAAAAGGUAAGUGGAGUUGUUAAAGCGUGCCGUCAUCGAACGGAUUCUUGACCAGCUCAGUAGCCUUAAACCUGUUCGCGGAGUUU
rfam:Capnocytophaga canimorsus strain CcD38 genome assembly, contig: CCAND38_Contig_31